rfam:Ovis aries breed Texel chromosome 1, whole genome shotgun sequence.
UCCCUGGUGGCUCAGAGGACAAAGCAUCUGCCUACAGUGCAGGAGGCCCAGGUUCGAUCCCUGGGUUGGGAA